rnacentral:lncRNA from 1 species
GGUCUGAAUAGAAGGGUGGUAGGUCUGAGUGGUCUGAAUAGAAGGGUGGUAGGUCUGAGUGCUCUGAAUAGAAGGGUGGUAGGUCUGAAUAGAAGGGUGGUAGGUCUGAGUGCUCUGAAUAGAAGGGUGGUAGGUCUGAGUGCUCUGAAUAGAAGAGUGGUAGGUCUGAGUGGUCUGAAUAGAAGGGUGGUAGGUCUGAGUGCUCUGAAUAGAAGGGUGGUAGGUCUGAGUGCUCUGAAUAGAAAAGUGGUAGGUCUGAGUGUUCUGAAUAGAAGGGUGGUAGGUGUGAGUGCUCUGAAUAGAAGGGUGGUAGGUCUGAAUGGUCUGAAUAGAAGGGUGGUAGGUUUGAGGGGUCUUUAUUUGGAGCUGCA